UACCUAUAUACCUUUAAUCCUCUGCAUUUAUUUUCUGCAAUUCCGAUCUCCACCUCCUUUCUUACCGGUUGUUAUCUUCAGUCAUAAAUCCUUUGAUUCAAAGUUGGAGAAAGGGGUACACAAUCGAUCGUCUCCAUUGUGCGGGUCCGUCAGUUGUCCUACUAUUGCCAAUUGCGACGCCCCUCAAAAUCAUCGUCAUCGCGGAUUCCAACCACCACCGUCUGGAUUAUUACCACCGCCUAAACCGGCGAAUCUUUAUUUUUUCUAAUCCAUUGGUUUUUUGAUUGUUUCAGGGAGGAUUUACAGAUACAGUACAAAGAAAAGCAUCCGAACAUCUAACAAAUAUUCGUAUUUUUGUUCUUAUAUUUUUAUGGUUUGUGUAAUUUUCAAUUAUACCUGUAUUGUCGAUUCUUUUAGAGGUCAUUUGUAAUUUGCCUGUUCGUUUCUUUCUUAGAUUGGAUUGCAAAGGGUUGCGCUUUGUUGUGAAUACAGAUUUUAGCCAUUUUCAGGAAGUAUUGUAAGAUUGGAUUGAACAACUUUUUUUACUUGGAAAUACACCACUCAUACCCUUUCUCCAAGAUGUCAUUCAAAAUAUGAGGGAUUCAGAUAAUUCCAAGACCACCUCAUUCUUGUUGGAUGAUGACUCAAGGUUGACUUAUUAGAACUAAUUUCAUUUUGUAUUUUUUUUUUUGAAUUUUUACAUGCUUUUAGUCUGAGUUUUACACCAAAUACUACGAAGUUCCAGGGAGACGAUAUUGUUUUGCAAAUCAACAGGAUGUUGGGUUAUUAACAUUGCUCAGUGUGCAUUAACUGUCUCAUCUGCCAAGUUGAUUAAUGAAAAAGAGUCCGAUUAUGCCCUUGAAAGGUAAUUUGACCCUUUUUCCCUUUUCUCCAAAACACCAACUUAUAGGUAAUGUCUUUUUGUAAUAAACCAUUUGCUAUAAGAUGAAUGCAACAGAUGUGUUUAAACUAAUUAUUGUGACUACAGGUUACAAUUAUAAAAAUGGAUUACUAGAAAAAAGAGUAAUAAUGCACUUCCAUUCUUCAGUUAAGAGAAAAUGAAGAAGCAUGGAAAUGUGAUCGUUACCAGGGGCUUGGCUCACAGACAGGGGUGCGGUGCCUUCCAACAGCUACCCAUGGUGAUGCCUUCGGAUGAUAUUUUGUAUUAAAAGGACAA